GUAGGAAUACAGGGGCCACAGCCCAUAAGUAAGGGGCACCCCCUUAGCAGGACCAGAGGCUGGCUUUCAGGGUCUAUCUUCCCUCCUCUAACAAGCGUCUCCAUUCUGGUCCCUGACCCACAUGUUGACAACUUUCCAGAACUUCUGAUGUCUCUAUAGAGACGGAUGUCCUGGAACCAGCCACAGUAACAGGGCUCCCAUCCAGGGAGGAAGGGCACACAGGUGGAAGUGGGCACUUCCCACAUAAGAGAGGCUUAUCCACUUCUUGGGAGGCCUCCAGCCUGGAAUUCUUCCUCGGGGUUAGCAGGACUGCCAUGAGCCUUGUAUUGGGGAUAGAUUCCAAGUGGCUACUCCUUGCUUCCCUUCACCUGGCAACCCUGCAACAGUAGCAUUUCAGGAGACCCCAGGUUGGAACAUAACCCAUAAAGCAAAUAAAUAAAUUAAGGAAAAGGGCUGUCCAUAGGCCAGGGAGACCCCACCCCACUGAGGGUUCCUGUCCCUCCUGGGCACACAAUGGCAAAUCAGCCCAGGCCAAGACUGGCACUGAGAUGAGGGAGGACAGGCCUUAAGUGUGGCUGUGGACCUGCUCUUUUGAGACCCUGACAACAGAAAGGCUCACAUCAGCCUACACUGAAGGGCACCCUGGGAAACGGCACCAGUGAGAUGAUUGGCGAAAGUCAUGGCAAACGGGAGAUCCUGAACAUGGCAGGUUGGCCCAAGGUCAAGGACCUCGGACCUGUAGUCUGCAGCCUGUCUGUUUCCCUGCCUUGGGUAAGGAGAAAGAAACAUGGCAUGCAGUUUGCAGCUGCCCAGGGUGGGAGAAGGUCCACUGGCCUCCUCCCCAGCUGCCGGGGGGGAAGCUACAUGUCUGCUAACUCUCUCCAAGAUGCCGCACGGGCUGCCGGGCUGCACAACCUAGAGAUCUGCCGAGAUCUCGAGGGAUGGCAACCAGCCACUCAGCAUGCAGAAAUCUGGGUAAAGAGGAGAGAGAUAUGGGGUACCCUCCUCCCCUCACUGCUUGUGCCCUCAUCUCCCUGCCUGAAACUCUUUCAGCCCAAUCCUCCAGGGACCUUGGUUUCCCACGUUUAAUGGAAAAGGAGGAAGAGUUUGCAAACUGUAGAAGGAAGGGACCCUGUUGGCUUUGCCCUCAGCUGGUGCUGGCUGGGCUGCAGUCUGCAGAAGUGGGCGUGCAGGUGGGGCUCUGCAGUGGGCUAGGAGCUGCGGUAGGUCUUGAUGAUGUCCUUGAUGGGGCGACGGCAGAUGGGGCAGCAGGCGUGCAGGGCCUUCUUGAGGCGCAGGCCACAGGAGUAGCACAGGCACAUGUGGCCACACGUGUAGAUGACUGUGUCCACUGCGUGUUCAUAGCAAAUGGUGCAUUCAUCACUCCACUGGCCCAGACCUGGGGUCACCGGUGACUCGGGCAGGCUCACAGGUGAGUUGGGGGCUGUCCCUGAGAGCAAGAGCACCAAUCAAAAGGGGAUGGGACCCAGCCCAGCACGGGGCCUUCUCCCAAGAGAAAAGCCCCCCCCACCCCACCCCAGCUCAUGUCUUCUGCCACUACGCAAAGCCACCUUUCCACACUGACAACCCACCUUCCUGCCCAAGGAAGGAGCUGUAGCCACACAGCCCCAGACAGAGCCAGAGCAGCAGUCAGAGGAAAGGAGGAAAAGAGGAAAAGAGGAAAGGAGGAAAGGACUUUCUAAUUCUUUCCAGGCGUGGUUCUACUGCACUAACGCUUGGAAUCCCCCACAUGCACUUUAAGAAGUCGCCUGGAAGAUCAGAUACCCUCUUCUGUGCUCCGUGAGCAUUUAUACUUACAUACACACACACAGACACAGACACACACACACACACACACACACACACACACACACACAGAGUUUAAAAUAAAUCUUU
rnacentral:lncRNA from 1 species